GCGUGUAGGGGGGGCUCAGACCAAAGGGGGAGACACAGACUCUGCCCAGCACCCACGGUCCCCAAGAAACUCCCUUAACAGAUGAAGAAGAAAAUGAGGUCCAGUCUCUUGAAGGCAAGAUGAGGUGACCUAGCCAGGGGCCGAGGCCACGUAGCUCACUCAAGGGCGUUCCACAUGGCCACCUUCCCCCUUUCGUGGAGCCCUGGUGCGGAUGGUUUAGGGGCCUUCCAGGUGGAAAAACUGAGGUCACACAGCUAGAUGACAGCACAGAGAAGAGUGAAACCCCCGGUUGACUCAGAAGCCCACACCUGCACCGCUGACAGACUGACUCUCUGAUUCAAAAGCGGCACGCCGGUGAGGUCUGUCUCCUGCUGUACGGGCCAAGAAAUCAUCUCACAAAAGGGCGCCUCCACAGAACCUCUGCCCCACCUCUUAUUUCAGGAUGCAGACCCUAACUCCGUGCCUAGCACAGGGAAGCAGUCAAUGAACACCAGAGGAAUAGAUGAACCUAUUUGGAAGGGCAAGAAGUCGGAGAUUCCUCUGACAGACAUCUUCUCAAAGUUGCCUACUGCUCCAUCUCUGACGCCCCAAACACGAGACAAGGGGCAACCGAAAGGGCAGUGAAGACUCCCCCAGCAAUCCGCGACUCCGUGCUUGAGGAGAAGCUGAAAUCUUUUCAUCAUCCAAUCGCCAGCAGCUCACUGGAAAGCAGGCUGAAGUUCUGGAAACAAUCGGACUCACGAAAAUCAACAGGGAUGGCUACACAUUAAUUGUCCGAAGUCCAAAAUUCUGCCACUCCUUAAAGGAGGCAGAGGAGAAGGAACUAAAAACCAAGGACAAAAAAGCAACCAAGGUUAGGCAGAGAAGGACUCCAGCGCAAGGAGUAAGACUUCCAGAGGGCGAGCCGUGGCGCCCAGGGCAGAGCGGAGGCCGAGGUUUCUCUGGCAUCCUGUCUCCCACUGGGCAGGCAGGCGCGCUCUCCGGAGGAACACACAUCUUCUUCGGCCCCUCUCUCCGAGGUCUGCUCCAAGAAAAAGAAAACACGUUUAACCAGAGAUAGAGGGUAGAAAGGGCAGCCGGCUCUUAAAACUUGGGCCAUAAAUGUGCUCGAAGGUUGGUUUUGCCCUAAAAGGAAAUAAAAUUUAUGGUUUGUCAGAUAAGUAGAAAGGAAAACCCUCAGGAUGGAAACCUGGC
ensembl:lncRNA